rnacentral:lncRNA from 1 species
GUUUCUCUCAAAUCUUUUUCACGGUCUUCUGUCCUCUGCCCACCAAGAUGCAAAUAAGUUUUGCCUGUGUCUGAUUCCUCUUUCUCAGAAAAGCAUUGGCUCCUGGGAACAGUUCCAGCACAAUUACUAUGAGUUGAAGAAUGGACUAUAAGACUUCUAACCCAGAAAGGAACUUCAUUUAAAUUUCUGUAGAGGAAACUCAAAGAUGAGGCGGUGUCUUUCAGCACCGACUUCCUGAACCUGCCAACCAACAAAGACGGACUUUAAGGAUAAACUUCAGAGAGCUGCUAAGGCUCCGGAGUAUUUCCCUCCCCUCUCUAUGGCCAGGUUACUUUGAACACUGAGCUAAUUAUCCAAAGAAUUCAAGCAAAAGUCAAGCUUUUACUUCAGUUAUUUUGGGGAUCUUUUAUUCUUUAAAAGCAUUUAUAAACGAUAUAACCGAAUUAUUCAUUUG